CAGUAGUCAGUACUACACCGUCAGUCAGUCUGUGAGUGCCAGCAUAGUGCCAGUGACCGUGAGUGCCGUGCUGUGCUACAUAGUGCCACUGUGAUUAUUGGAGUCUGCGAAUCUUUGAUUCUACAAAGUUGAAAUCCACAUAUUGAACUAUUCUGAAGCUUAUAAGAGCAACGCAGACGAGUUGCAACUGGAGGACUCACAUGAUCA